UUUCACCUGUUUGGAGUCAAGAAAACUGGAGUCGCUUUGAUUGCCUUUACCAAAUUCCAUCCAGAACAUCAGGAAAAGACUCCCCUGUGGUCUUACAAGAAGGAGCCCUGAGGAUUUGGCAAAGCUAUUGAGGGCUGUGUCAAUUAAUAAACAAUUGAAUAUGUUGAAAUCUAAGAAAAUCAAGUGGCUUCUGGACAAGACUCCUUACUUAUUCUAAGGUGUUGGAUCAAAAGGCCAUAAGCUCGAAUGUUGCCUUUUCCUAAACCACCCACGGCCCUGCCCUGCACCAUCCUGUGCCUAUAAAAACCCGACUCACCUGGUAGAUGGGACUACAGCUGGACGUCAAAGAGAAGCGGCUUGACUUCAGAGGGAUAGCCUGACAGUGUUAACUUCAGAGAAGAAUCCGGCUGGACUUCAGGGGAAGAUUACCUAACCACCCCCCAACCCAUCCCCUUUUCAGUUCCCCUUCCCGCUGAGAGCCACUGUCAUCCGCAAUAAAAUCCC
rnacentral:lncRNA from 10 species